ACAUCCAGCGAACUUGGCAGAGAUGCCUUGGUGCCUUCGGGAACGCUGAGACAGGUGCUGCAUGGCUGUCGUCAGCUCGUGUUGUGAAAUGUUGGGUUAAGUCCCGNAACGAGCGCAACCCUUAUCCUUUGUUGCCAGCGAUUCGGUCGGGAACUCAAAGGAGACUGCCGGUGAUAAACCGGAGGAAGGUGGGGAUGACGUCAAGUCAUCAUGGCCCUUACGAGUAGGGCUACACACGUGCUACAAUGGCGCAUACAAAGAGAAGCGACCUCGCGAGAGCAAGCGGACCUCAUAAAGUGCGUCGUAGUCCGGAUCGGAGUCUGCAACUCGACUCCGUGAAGUCGGAAUCGCUAGUAAUCGUGGAUCAGAAUGCCACGGUGAAUACGUUCCCGGGCCUUGUACACACCGCCCGUCACACCAUGGGAGUGGGUUGCAAAAGAAGUAGGUAGCUUAACCUCGGGAGGGCGCUUACCACUUUGUGAUUCAUGACUGGGGUGAAGUCGUAACAAGGUAAGCGUAGCGAG
rnacentral:rRNA from 1 species